AACGAACGCUGGCGGCAUGCCUAACACAUGCAAGUCGAACGAUACCUUCGGGUCUAGUGGCGCACGGGUGCGUAACGCGUGGGAACCUGCCCUUAGGUUCGGAGUAACUCCCCGAAAGGGGUGCUAAUACCGGAUAAUUUCUUCGGACCAAAGAUUUAUCGCCUUUGGAUGGGCCCGCGUUGGAUUAGCUAGUUGGUAGGGUAAAAGCCUACCAAGGCGACGAUCCAUAGCUGGUCUGAGAGGAUGAUCAGCCACACUGGGACUGAGACACGGCCCAGACUCCUACGGGAGGCAGCAGUGGGGAAUAUUGGACAAUGGGCGAAAGCCUGAUCCAGCAAUGCCGCGUGAGUGAUGAAGGCCUUAGGGUUGUAAAGCUCUUUUAACCGGGAUGAUAAUGACAGUACCGGGAGAAUAAGCGCCGGCUAACUCCGUG
rnacentral:rRNA from 1 species